GGGGGUUUCAUAAUUCAGGUUUCUAUCUUAUUGUGGUUAAACAAGUUAUUUUCCAUUAAUGGAUUCUAUCUGUCAUUUCAGUCGACUUUGGACACAGCUGGGACCUGGACCCGCAAACUGGGUUGUGCCACGAAGCGGAAGGGACACCACAUUGGAUGGCACCCGAGGCCAUAAGGCAGAAGGGCCAGCGCCUGGCGUACGACACCAAAUGUGACAUCUGGUCGCUGGGGAUAACCGCCAUCGAAAUGGCUGAAGGAAAACCACCAUACACAGGGCAAUAUCCAGUUGAGGACCUGAUAAUUGAAGCCCAACCACCGAAGCUUCAAUCGAACACCUGGUCACAGCAUUUUGUGUCCUUCUUGGAGUCCUGUCUGAAAAAGGAUCCUUCGGAGAGAGCGAGUGCUGAAGAACUCCUGCAGCACCCAUUCGUCACCCAAAUACCACCUAAGAAGAUCGUCAGGGCUGAGAUAGAAGAACAUCUCCGGACUCUGCAGAACUUGCCGGCCAAGAAAGGACUGAAGGGAGUUGCUCUCUCAAAGCUGCGGCGUGCUUGUGACUUCUGCACACAGACAUCGGCAGAACAAGAAGCAGCUCUGCAAAUGGCCCUGGAAGGCUUCUCCUGUUAUUGAUAUUGUGGCCAAUAACAUCAACAGCCCAGAAUCAGUUUCCUAAAUCACAGCCAAGGAAAAAGAAACAUCCACAGGAUCCAGUGGCGUCUGCAGCUCCACCAGCAACAUCUCCUUUCAAGCUGAUGCAGUUCAGCAAGUGGUAACUUCAAGAUUCCUGCAAC